UACCUGCUAUCACCCUCUUACCCCCACCCAACCCUACCUGCUAUCACCCUCUUACCCCCAACAACCCUACCUGCUAUCACCCUCUUACCCCCACCAACCAUACCUGCUAUCACCACAGUAUGGCAUCGGGCCUCUGAGACUUGUUCACCUUACCCCCCGCCCCCUGAAUGCCAAGUCUCCAGACCCCUUUCCAUCCUGACCUGAUGGUCUCUGUCCGAGGGAGGGGUUACAUCCAGAUCCAUUCUGGUUACAAUGUCAGCUGAUGUUCAUUACGUCUCAACAUGUAAUGGAUGAGAUUAGGUCAUGGUUCAGGUUAUGAGGCCUGUCCAGGUGUAAACAAGAUGCUGGCUAGAAGGCAGCUGUUUUCCACUUGGAGAGACAGGGGAACAUGGUGAGGUGACCUCUAGGUGUUGAGAGAGGGGACCAUGGUGAGGUGACCUCUGUAGGUGUUGAGAGGGGAGGAACAUGGUGAGGUGACCUCUGUAGGUGUUGAGAGAGGGGAACAUGGUGAGGUGACCUCUAGGUGUUGAGAGCUUCUUCAUUAGGAGCCAGCUGACACUGUGGCCCUGGGUGUGUCCCAAAUGUCACCAUAUUCCCCAAAUCGUGCACUGCUUUUGACUAAAGCCCUGGUCAAAAGUAGUGCACUAUAUAGGGAAUAGGGUGCCAAUCAGGACGUCUCUCUUUGUCAUGGUCACUAUUCCUCCCCUGUUCUUUAGGAAGUGCUGUGGGUGUGGGGUUGUGUGUACACAGAGGGAGACUGGACUGUUUGGUGAUAAAACAUCCUCAGAGACAACAAACACAGUCAGACGCAGGUUUAUUUCUCUAAACCCUUCCAGAUCUAAGUAACACACACAAGCUAAAACACGGCUCGCUCACACAUGUACACUUUUGUGUUAUUCUUAAACCCUGGACCUGUUACACACACACACACACACACACACACACAACCCGUCCUGAUCAAUAACUCUGUCCAGGUCUCUUCCUCAUGCCUUGCACUAAUGAUUCUCAUGAAUAUAUCUUGUCAUAAUUACAGCCAGUGUGAUAUAAAUAUAUAUAUAUAAUAUACUGUACAUAGGGUAUUGCAAUGUAGUCUACUUUUUCCAUUUACAGUUGACAGGACUAAUGCUUGCUAGGGAGUUGUCUAGAUAAUCAUUAAAAAACUGUACAGUUAGCAGAAAUCAGCUUCAGUGUGGGUUUGGAGUUGUUUUUUUCCCCUCCACAAAAAUGUUUAAAUUAUAAUCGAUGGUGGUCUUUAUAAAUGUAAGUGUUAUUAACAAACAAAAAUAUCUUGCAUUUCUUUAGUGGUCUGACUUAUACUUUAUUUCUCAAGAAAAGCUAAAUGAUUAUUUUUUGGUUUCUAUUUUUUAACAUUCUCUCUCUCACAUUUCACUCAUUUGUGAGUGAUCUAAAGUUAGGAUGCCCUGUCCGGUACUCCUCAUCCCACUAGAACUGAAGUCACACACAAUACACUGUCUGGCUGUUGAAUCCCUGUUGGAGCAAAGCGAAAAGGAUUUGAAAAAAAUUAACUUUCCGCUUGUCUUAUAACGUCUCAGUAGGAAUGUAAUGACGUUGUGGGAACAAUGUUAACAACCUUAGUAGGAGAAGAAAGACGGCUCUGUUCUACUGUUGGGGUAUUAGCUGGUGGAUCAUGAUGAUGAAUAAAUGGAUUAACUCAUAGGGAUGUACAUUGUAUACAUUUUUGUUGCUGUGGCCACUUAAUUGCAGCCGGAAAAAAAUAAAAUAAAUGCAAGCAUUUUACAGUACUGUUAAAUAAUAUCAUGUGUGGAGUAGGAUAUUUGUCUUACCUAAGAGGUGGUUCCUAUUUUUUUAUGAUCUCUAGAACUUGUGGUUCUAAGAUUUGUUUUCAGCGGUUCUAGAUGUUUUCUUAUGCUACUGUACACUGUCUGGGGUAAAGAACCCCAACCACUACACUCGGUCACCAGUGGCAUCCUGUUCUUUUUAUCUGACCUUUGACCACUUAGCUUUGCCUAUUGAGGUCACACUAUCGACUAAGGUACUAGUGGUCCUGUCAGACCUGUCCUCA
ensembl:lncRNA